rnacentral:snRNA from 1 species
GUGCUCACUUUGGCAGCAUGUAUACUAAAAUUGAAAUGAUACAGAGAAGAUAAGCAUGGCCCCUGUGCAAGGAUGACAUGCAAAUUCGUGAAGCAUUCUGUAUUUUU